rnacentral:rRNA from 1 species
UACAGAGGUCUCAAGCGUUGUUCGGAUUCAUUGGGCGUAAAGGGUGCGUAGGUGGCGCCGUAAGUCAGGUGUGAAAUCUCGGGGCUCAACCCCGAAACUGCACUUGAUACUGCGGUGCUCGAGUACUGGAGAGGAGAUUGGAAUUUACGGUGUAGCAGUGAAAUGCGUAGAUAUCGUAAGGAAGACCGGUGGCGAAGGCGCCCACCUGGCCUGCUACUGACGCUGAAGCUCGAAAGCUAGGGGAGCAAACGGG